AAAGAUUGUGGUGGAGAAUAUGUGUUAAUAGAUUCUAUCUAGUUUUCUUGAUGUAAUGCACAGAGAAGAAAGCCAAGAGUGUCCACAGAAAUUAGGAGAUGCCUACAAAGAUCUUUUUUUUUCUUUUGCAUGUCGUUGCCGUCUCUCCGUCCAUUCAUACACAAACAUACGCGUGCCCAAACGUGUUUCACAAUUUCAUUCUAUAAACAUCUCCUCUCCACAAACUGCACCACACUCUCCAGUUUCUAGUUUCUUCUUCCCAGAUCCAUUCGACACAACACUACACUACUCAGAGACACCGCCAUGGAAGCAGCCACUGGUUCAACUUCAACCCUUGCCAUUGGAAUUGGAUCGCCAUUUCGGGACACCGCCCCCAGGCCCCCUGCCUCCCGUUCCCUUUAUUUUCCUUCCGAAUCCCUCAUCUCUGUUCCUCAUUAUCGGUCCUUCGUUUCUCCAUCAAAACUUGGAAAGAAGUCGAUUACUCUCCCCUGUAGUGGCCGGGGUCGGGGAUUGGGAUUCCCAAUGGUUAAAGCGUCUCUGUCUCCGGAUCCGGAUGGUUCUGCUGCCCAAAUUGCUCCACUUCGGCUCCAGUCUCCAAUUGGCCAGUUUCUGUCUCAAAUCCUGACUACCCAUCCCCACCUUCUUCCUGCAGCCGUCGACCAGCAGCUUCAACAGCUGCAGACCCAACGUCAUGCUGAAGAACUAACUCAAGAGCCCUCCGCUUCAGCUACUCAUGACAUUGUCUUGUACAGGAGGAUUGCUGAGGUUAAGGCAAUUGAAAGGAAGAGGGCCUUAGAAGAGAUAUUAUAUGCAAUGGUGGUGCAACGAUUCAUGGACGCCGAUGUUCCUCUAAUACCAGCUGUUGCCCCGUCGUCUACGGAUCCAUAUGGCCGAGUUGACACAUGGGCACGAGAUGAUGAAAAGCUGGAGCGGCUUCACUCGUCGGAAGCAAGCGAAAUGAUUCAGAACCACCUAGCGCUGGUUUUGGGGAAUCGGAUUGGUGACUUUGCGUCAGUAGCGCAGAUAAGCAAACUAAGAGUGGGGCAGGUGUAUGCUGCGUCUGUGAUGUAUGGGUACUUCCUCAAGCGAGUGGAUGAGAGAUUUCAGCUUGAGAAGACUGUGAAAGUGCUACCAGCCAGUGCAACUGUUGAGGGCUCCUUCUCCAAUGCACCAGUGCAUCCUGAAAUCUCUUCCAUGGCAGCUGAACAGGGAGAUGUUAGUCCUGGGGAGUCGGGUAUGGGGAUCAAGCCCUCCCGACUGCGAACAUACGUAAUGUCAUUUGAUGGGGAGACACUGCAGAGAUUUGCCACAAUAAGGUCAAAAGAGGCCGUUAGCAUCAUUGAGAGACACACGGAGGCCUUGUUUGGAAGACCCCAGAUUGCAAUCACCCCGCAAGGAACAGUAGAUACCUCCAAAGACGAGCUUAUCAAAAUCAGCUUUGGUGGGUUGAAGAGACUAGUUUUGGAAGCCGUGACUUUCGGUUCUUUCCUGUGGGAUGUGGAGACGUAUGUGGACUCCAGGUUUCAUUUUGUCAUGAAUUGAGACAUGAACUUACUCGUGCAUUCUGGACAAUGGAUGCCUCCAGCGAAUGUAAUGUUAACUGUAUAUACGCAAUGUCAAA